rnacentral:rRNA from 1 species
AACUACUGGAAACGGUAGCUAAUACCGCAUAACGUCGCAAGACCAAAGAGGGGGACCUUCGGGCCUCUUGCCAUCGGAUGUGCCCAGAUGGGAUUAGCUAGUAGGUGGGGGAACGGCUCACCUAGGCGACGAUCCCUAGCUGGUCUGAGAGGAUGACCAGCCACACUGGAACUGAGACACGGUCCAGACUCCUACGGGAGGCAGCAGUGGGGAAUAUUGCA